AUUGAACGCUGGCGGCAUGCCUUACACAUGCAAGUCGAACGGCAGCACGGGUGCUUGCACCUGGUGGCGAGUGGCGAACGGGUGAGUAAUACAUCGGAACAUGUCCUGUAGUGGGGGAUAGCCCGGCGAAAGCCGGAUUAAUACCGCAUACGAUCUACGGAUGAAAGCGGGGGACCUUCGGGCCUCGCGCUGUAGGGGUGGCCGAUGGCUGAUUAGCUCGUUGGGGGGGUAAGGCCUACCAAGGCGACGAUCAGGAGUUGGUCUGAGAGGACGACCAGCCACACUGGGACUGAGACACGGCCCAGACUCCUACGGGAGGCAGCAGUGGGGAAUUUUGGACAAUGGGCGAAAGCCUGAUCCAGCAAUGCCGCGUGUGUGAAGAAGGCCUUCGGGGUGUAAAGCACUUUUGUCCGGAAAGAAAUCCUUGGCCCUAAUACGGUCGGGGGAUGACGGUACCGGAAGAAUAAGCACCGGCUAACUACGUG
rnacentral:rRNA from 1 species